rnacentral:rRNA from 1 species
UACGGGGGGGGCAAGCGUUGUUCGGAAUUACUGGGCGUAAAGGGCUCGUAGGUGGCCAACUAAGUCGGGCGUGAAAUCCCUCGGCUUAACCGGGGAACUGCGUCCGAUACUGGAUGGCUUGAGUUUGGGAGAGGGAUGCGGAAUUCCAGGUGUAGCGGUGAAAUGCGUAGAUAUCUGGAGGAACACCGGUGGCGAAGGCGGCAUCCUGGACCAACACUGACACUGAGGAGCGAAAGCCAGGGGAGCAAACGGG